CCAUUGUCGCAGAGCUCUCUCCGCCGCCACUCUCAUCACAUCUGCUCCAUUUGGCGCCUCUUCCAUCUAAUCUCAACAACUCGCUCUCUCAGUUCUUCUUGUAACCAUCUCGAAUUUUAGGGUUGUUGAAUAUCAAGUCAAAUCUACAGCACAACAUCUGAUUAAGGAACUGUUGUCUAUUGAUUCUUGCAAUUGCAAUUUCUCUCUACGCCAAUGCUCUUCUUGCUAAGCUCCAUGAAUUUGGUGGAACAAGGCAUAUUAGAUACAGAGAUUUAGCUGGCUUUAUCUAUGGUAGAAAAGCAUAUUCUCUCACAUGGGCCCUACAGUAUAUCAAUCUUUUCAUGAUAAAUGCUGGCUAUAUCAUCUUGGCUGGUUCUGCCUUAAAGG